rnacentral:lncRNA from 1 species
AUUAAAACAAAAUAUUUAUAUAAAAAAAUGAAAACAAAAAUCCGCGCGGUUGCGAGGGUCGAGAUCUAAUUAUUAAUUAACAUAUUAAUGACAUGUAAAUGUCCAUCAAAAUUUCAUAAUUUAAAAGACAAAUUCCAAUCAAGUUUAAAUAUAUUUAUAUUAUAAAAGGAAAAAAAUACAUGAUCUAAAUUUAAAGUAUAAAAAAUUUAAAAUAAAAACUAUAGAAAAAUAAUUAAACUAAACAUAUUAAUAAAAGUAUA